rnacentral:sRNA from 1 species
AGUCCGAGAAAGAUUCG